rnacentral:rRNA from 1 species
GGGUUGUGAGGUUAAGCGACUAAGCGUACACGGUGGAUGCCCUGGCAGUCAGAGGCGAUGAAGGGCGUGCUAAUCUGCGAUAAGCGCCGGUAAGGUGAUAUGAACCGUUAUAACCGGCGAUACCCGAAUGGGGAAACCCAGUGUGUUUCGACACACUAUCAUUAACUGAAUCCAUAGGUUAAUGAGGCGAACCGGGGGAACUGAAACAUCUAAGUACCCCGAGGAAAAGAAAUCAACCGAGAUUCCCCCAGUAGCGGCGAGCGAACGGGGAGGAGCCCAGAGCCUGAAUCAGCAUGUGUGUUAGUGGAAGCGUCUGGAAAGGCGCGCGAUACAGGGUGACAGCCCCGUACACAAAAGCGCAUGUGCUGUGAGCUCGAUGAGUAGGGCGGGACACGUGGUAUCCUGUCUGAAUAUGGGGGACCAUCCUCCAAGGCUAAAUACUCCUGACUGACCGAUAGUGAACCAGUACCGUGAGGGAAAGGCGAAAAGAACCCCGGCGAGGGGAGUGAAAAAGAACCUGAAACCGUGUACGUACAAGCAGUGGGAGCCCCACCACUAAGCCAGUGGUGAACUCCACAUACGCAUCCUUUGCUGAGGAUACGGUUAACGGAGCGAAAGCGACGUUCAACCUCAAAAGAAGCAGAGGGGGCUUAGUGGUGGGGUGACUGCGUACCUUUUGUAUAAUGGGUCAGCGACUUAUAUUCUGUAGCAAGGUUAACCGCAUAGGGGAGCCGUAGGGAAACCGAGUCUUAACCGGGCGUUAAGUUGCAGGGUAUAGACCCGAAACCCGGUGAUCUAGCCAUGGGCAGGUUGAAGGUUGGGUAACACUAACUGGAGGACCGAACCGACUAAUGUUGAAAAAUUAGCGGAUGACCUGUGGCUGGGGGUGAAAGGCCAAUCAAACCGGGAGAUAGCUGGUUCUCCCCGAAAGCUAUUUAGGUAGCGCCUCGUGAACUCAUCUCCGGGGGUAGAGCACUGUUUCGGCUAGGGGGCCAUCCCGGCUUACCAACCCGAUGCAAACUGCGAAUACCGGAGAAUGUUAUCACGGGAGACACACGGCGGGUGCUAACGUCCGUCGUGAAGAGGGAAACAACCCAGACCGCCAGCUAAGGUCCCAAAGUCAUGGUUAAGUGGGAAACGAUGUGGGAAGGCCCAGACAGCCAGGAUGUUGGCUUAGAAGCAGCCAUCAUUUAAAGAAAGCGUAAUAGCUCACUGGUCGAGUCGGCCUGCGCGGAAGAUGUAACGGGGCUAAACCAUGCACCGAAGCUGCGGCAGCGAACGUAUCACUUAAAGCGAUUCAGCGGGUUACGAUUGACGGAGCGAAGCGACGUCAAAGCGUAUACAAAGUCGAGUCGGUUUAAGGAUACGUUCGUUGGGUAGGGGAGCGUUCUGUAAGCCUGUGAAGGUGUGUCGUGAGGCAUGCUGGAGGUAUCAGAAGUGCGAAUGCUGACAUAAGUAACGAUAAAGCGGGUGAAAAGCCCGCUCGCCGGAAGACCAAGGGUUCCUGUCCAACGUUAAUCGGGGCAGGGUGAGUCGACCCCUAAGGCGAGGCCGAAAGGCGUAGUCGAUGGGAAACGGGUUAAUAUUCCCGUACUUGGUGUUACUGCGAAGGGGGGACGGAGAAGGCUAUGUUGGCCGGGCGACGGUUGUCCCGGUUUAAGCGUGUAGGCUGGUUUUCCAGGCAAAUCCGGAAAAUCAAGGCUGAGGCGUGAUGACGAGGCACUACGGUGCUGAAGCAACAAAUGCCCUGCUUCCAGGAAAAGCCUCUAAGCAUCAGGUAACAUCAAAUCGUACCCCAAACCGACACAGGUGGUCAGGUAGAGAAUACCAAGGCGCUUGAGAGAACUCGGGUGAAGGAACUAGGCAAAAUGGUGCCGUAACUUCGGGAGAAGGCACGCUGACACGUAGGUGAAGUGAUUUACUCAUGGAGCUGAAGUCAGUCGAAGAUACCAGCUGGCUGCAACUGUUUAUUAAAAACACAGCACUGUGCAAACACGAAAGUGGACGUAUACGGUGUGACGCCUGCCCGGUGCCGGAAGGUUAAUUGAUGGGGUCAGCGCAAGCGAAGCUCCUGAUCGAAGCCCCGGUAAACGGCGGCCGUAACUAUAACGGUCCUAAGGUAGCGAAAUUCCUUGUCGGGUAAGUUCCGACCUGCACGAAUGGCGUAAUGAUGGCCAGGCUGUCUCCACCCGAGACUCAGUGAAAUUGAACUCGCUGUGAAGAUGCAGUGUACCCGCGGCAAGACGGAAAGACCCCGUGAACCUUUACUAUAGCUUGACACUGAACAUUGAGCCUUGAUGUGUAGGAUAGGUGGGAGGCUUUGAAGUGUGGACGCCAGUCUGCAUGGAGCCGACCUUGAAAUACCACCCUUUAAUGUUUGAUGUUCUAACGUGGACCCGUUACCCGGGUUGCGGACAGUGUCUGGUGGGUAGUUUGACUGGGGCGGUCUCCUCCUAAAGAGUAACGGAGGAGCACGAAGGUUGGCUAAUCCUGGUCGGACAUCAGGAGGUUAGUGCAAUGGCAUAAGCCAGCUUGACUGCGAGCGUGACGGCGCGAGCAGGUGCGAAAGCAGGUCAUAGUGAUCCGGUGGUUCUGAAUGGAAGGGCCAUCGCUCAACGGAUAAAAGGUACUCCGGGGAUAACAGGCUGAUACCGCCCAAGAGUUCAUAUCGACGGCGGUGUUUGGCACCUCGAUGUCGGCUCAUCACAUCCUGGGGCUGAAGUAGGUCCCAAGGGUAUGGCUGUUCGCCAUUUAAAGUGGUACGCGAGCUGGGUUUAGAACGUCGUGAGACAGUUCGGUCCCUAUCUGCCGUGGGCGCUGGAGAACUGAGGGGGGCUGCUCCUAGUACGAGAGGACCGGAGUGGACGCAUCACUGGUGUUCGGGUUGUCAUGCCAAUGGCACUGCCCGGUAGCUAAAUGCGGAAGAGAUAAGUGCUGAAAGCAUCUAAGCACGAAACUUGCCCCGAGAUGAGUUCUCCCUGAGACUUAGAGUCUCCUGAAGGAACGUUGAAGACGACGACGUUGAUAGGCCGGGUGUGUAAGCGCAGCGAUGCGUUGAGCUAACCGGUACUAAUGAACCGUGAGGCUUAACCUUACAACGCCGAAG